CCUACGGGUGGCAGCAGUGGGGAAUUUUCCGCAAUGGGCGAAAGCCUGACGGAGCGACGCCGCGUGGAGGAUGAAGGAUUUCGGUCUGUAAACUCCUGUCAGGGGGGACGAUGAUGACGGUACCCCCAGAGGAAGCAUCGGCUAACUACGUGCCAGCAGCCGCGGUAAGACGUAGGAUGCGAGCGUUGUUCGGAUUUAUUGGGCGUAAAGCGUGCGUAGGCGGUCACAUAAGUCUGGUGUUAAAGCUAGGGGCUCAACCCCUGUGAUGCACUGGAAACUGUGUGACUCGAGUGCGGUAGGGGAAGGUGGAAUUCCGAGUGUAGCGGUGAAAUGCGUAGAUAUUCGGAAGAACACCGGUGGCGAAGGCGACCUUCUGGGCCGCAACUGACGCUGAGGCACGAAAGCCUGGGGAGCAAACGGGAUUAGAUACCCCUGUAGUC
rnacentral:rRNA from 1 species